rnacentral:tRNA from 2 species
GGCCCCGUGGCUCAACUGGAUAGAGCAAUCCCCUCCUAAGGGAUAGGUUACAGGUUCGAAUCCUGUCGGGGUCACCA